ACGUCACCCGCACAGAAGAAGAUUAUAUCCUUGAAAGAUUUUCGACAUAGAACAUGAUGCUGCUUCACAUCCUCUUUUAGAGACUCGAGGAUUACAAGACCGAAUUAAGCUGCAGGACCCUCCUGAUUCAAAAAGAUAUGGAACAUGACUCUGCUUCACAUUCUCUGUUUUAGAGACUCAAGAAAUACAAGACCAAAUUAAGGGUUUGCUUUUUAAUUCCAAUAAUAAUUUUCUGGAGGAAGAAUUAGGGAAUAAUGCAUUGACAAUAUGCCAAACAUCCUAUAUCAAACUGAAUUACUGCAUGUAUUUACAAUAGAGUAUUGUAACCGCC